ensembl:lncRNA
GUGAUGGUUUGUGAUGCAAUGGAUGACUUUGGCUUCUUUGAUGUCUAAACAAACUCUGUAAGUGCUGCAUAAUGCCUGCUUCAGUCACGAUCAUAGUAGUUGGAACAAAGUGUUUGAAUCUGCCCAUUCUGCCAGGGGAAAUUUUCACAUGCCUAAGAUGAUGCAUAAUAAAUUCUGCUCCAGUCUUUUACUUUGAAUCAGUAUGUGUCACCUUGCCUCAAAUGUAAACAACAUAUAGUAGGAGUGUGGUUUUUAAUCAGCUCUGCUGUCUACUUACAUUUUAUGGGGCCUCAUUUGGAAGAGGAAUUAAACCUGAUCUAUUUGGACCUGGAGGACGGAACUGGGGACUGUCAAUGAAUAGUAGAUAGAUUUUUGACUCCAAAUAAGUGGAAAGGAAAAGCUUCAUAACAAUUCAAGCUAUUAAAGAAAUGGAGUAGUCUGUCUAUCUGGGUGCCAGCUUCCUCAUAUCUGAGGCCUAAAAGGUAAUCAAAAUGUAGAGGAUUGUUUGGAGAAUACUUAUAGGAUUCACAAAUUGAAUAGGAAUUGGACUAAGUCAGAUCUAAAUAAAAUACCUUGCCAUUUCA